AGUGGGGAAUAUUGCACAAUGGGCGAAAGCCUGAUGCAGCAACGCCGCGUGAGCGAUGAAGGCCUUCGGGUCGUAAAGCUCUGUCCUCAAGGAAGAUAAUGACGGUACUUGAGGAGGAAGCCCCGGCUAACUACGUGCCAGCAGCCGCGGUAAUACGUAGGGGGCUAGCGUUAUCCGGAUUUACUGGGCGUAAAGGGUGCGUAGGUGGUUUCUUAAGUCAGAGGUGAAAGGCUACGGCUCAACCGUAGUAAGCCUUUGAAACUGAGAAACUUGAGUGCAGGAGAGGAGAGUAGAAUUCCUAGUGUAGCGGUGAAAUGCGUAGAUAUUAGGAGGAAUACCAGUUGCGAAGGCGGCUCUCUGGACUGUAACUGACACUGAGGCACGAAAGCGUGGGGAGCAAA
rnacentral:rRNA from 1 species